UACGUAGGGUGCAAGCGUUGUCCGGAAUUAUUGGGCGUAAAGGGCUCGUAGGCGGUUUGUUGCGUCAGGAGUGAAAACUCGGGGCUUAACCCCGAGCCUGCUUCUGAUACGGGCAGACUAGAGGUAUGCAGGGGAGAACGGAAUUCCUGGUGUAGCGGUGAAAUGCGCAGAUAUCAGGAGGAACACCGGUGGCGAAGGCGGUUCUCUGGGCCGAUACUGACGCUGAGGAGCGAAAGCGUGGGGAGCGAACAGG
rnacentral:rRNA from 1 species